GAUGAACGCUAGCGGCAGGCUUAACACAUGCAAGUCGAGGGGCAGCACGGUAGCAAUACUGGUGGCGACCGGCAAACGGGUGCGGAACACGUACACAAUCUACCUUUGUCUGGGGCAUAGCCCGGAGAAAUCCGGAUUAACUCCCCAUAAUAUAAUUGGGUGGCAUCACCUGGUUAUUAAAAAUUUAUUGGACAGAGAUGAGUGUGCGUCCCAUUAGCUAGUUGGUAGGGUAACGGCCUACCAAGGCAACGAUGGGUAGCUGGUGUGAGAGCACGACCAGCCACACGGGCACUGAGACACGGGCCCGACUCCUACGGGAGGCAGCAGUGAGGAAUAUUGGUCAAUGGACGCAAGUCUGAACCAGCCAUGCCGCGUGAAGGAUGAAGGCCUUCUGGGUUGUAAACUUCUUUUACCUGGGAAGAAACCACCUUUUUCUAAGGGUGUUGACGGUACCAGAGGAAUAAGCACCGGCUAACUCCGUGCCAGCAGCCGCGGUAAUACGGAGGGUGCAAGCGUUAUCCGGAUUUACUGGGUUUAAAGGGUGUGUAGGCGGGCUUUUAAGUCAGUGGUGAAAUCUCCGGGCUCAACCUGGAAACUGCCAUUGAUACUAUUAGUCUUGAAUUUUGUUGAGGUAGGCGGAAUAAGUCAUGUAGCGGUGAAAUGCAUAGAUAUGACUUAGAACACCAAUUGCGAAGGCAGCUUGCUAAACAAAUAUUGACGCUGAGGCACGAAAGCGUGGGAAUCAAACAGGAUUAGAUACCCUGGUAGUCCACGCCCUAAACGUUGAUUACUCGACAUACGCGAUACACAGUGUGUGUCUGAGCG
rnacentral:rRNA from 1 species